GGUGCCAUGUCUCAGCUGGUUGUGCCUGUCUAGUAAACAGGAGAUCCUGGUUUUGAAUCCCAGUGGUGCCU
rnacentral:tRNA from 1 species